rnacentral:rRNA from 1 species
CCUACGGGAGGCAGCAGUGAGGAAUAUUGGACAAUGGGCGCAAGCCUGAUCCAGCCAUGCCGCGUGCAGGAUGACGGUCCUAUGGAUUGUAAACUGCUUUUAUACGGGAAGAAACCCUGGCUCGUGAGCCAGAUUGACGGUACCGUAAGAAUAAGGAUCGGCUAACUCCGUGCCAGCAGCCGCGGUAAUACGGAGGAUCCAAGCGUUAUCCGGAAUCAUUGGGUUUAAAGGGUCCGUAGGCGGUUUAAUAAGUCAGUGGUGAAAGCCCAUCGCUCAACGGUGGAACGGCCAUUGAUACUGUUAGACUUGAAUUAUUAGGAAGUAACUAGAAUAUGUAGUGUAGCGGUGAAAUGCUUAGAGAUUACAUGGAAUACCAAUUGCGAAGGCAGGUUACUACUAAUUGAUUAACGCUGAUGGACGAAAGCGUGGGUAGCGAACAGGAUUAGAUACCCUGGUAGUCCACGCCGUAAACGAUGGAUACUAGCUGUUGGGAGUAAUCUCAGUGGCUAAGCGAAAGUGAUAAGUAUCCCACCUGGGGAGUACGUUCGCAAGAUGAAACUCAAAUGAAUUGACGG